AAACCCAUGAAAUUUGAUUGAAUUGUGUGAAUAAUGAAAAUGUUAUUGUUAAAACCAUAAAAUUUGAUUGAAAUUUGGGAAUGAUAAAAGUGUGAUGUUAAACCCAUGAAAUUUGAUUGAAUUGUGGGAAUGAUAAAAAUGAUGAUGUUAAACCCAUGAAAUUUGAUUGAAUUGUGGGAAUGAUGAAAAUGAUGAUGUUAAACCCAUGAAAUUUGAUUGAAUUGUGGGAAUGAUGAAAAUGUUGAUGUUAAACCCAUGAAAUUUGAUUGAAUUGUGGGAAUGAUGAAAAUGUUGAUGUUAAACCCACGAAAUUUGAUUGAAUUGAGGGAAUGAUGAAAAUGAUGAUGUUAAACCCAUGAAAUUUGAUUGAAUUGUGGGAAUAAAUGAAAAUAUUCUUGUUAAAACCAUGAAAUUUGAUUGAAUUAUGUGAAUGAUGAAAAUUUUGUUGUUAAACCUAUAAAAUUUGAUUGAAUUGUGGGAAUGAUGAAAAUGCUGACAUUAAACCCUUGAAAUCAGAUUGAAUUGUUUGAAUAAUGAAAAUGUAAUUAUUAAAACCAUAAAAUUUGACUGAGUUGUGGGAAUGAUAAAAGUGUGAUGUUAAACCCAUGAAAUUUGAUUGAAUUGUGGGAAUGAUAAAAAUGAUGAUGUUAAACCCAUGAAAUUAGAUUGAAUUGUGGGAAUGAUGAAAAUGAUGAUGUUAAACCCAUGAAAUUUUAUUGAAUUGUGGGAAUGAUGAAAAUGUUGAUGUUAAACCCACGAAAUUUGGUUGAAUUGAGGGAAUGAUGAAAAUGAUGAUGUUAAACCCAUGAAAUUUGAUUGAAUUGUGGGAAUAAAUGAAAAUAUUAUUGUUAAAACCAUGAAAUUUGAUUGAAUUAUGUGAAUGAUGAAAAUUUUGUUGUUAAACCUAUAAAAUUUGAUUGAAUUGUGGGAAUGAUGAAAAUGCUGAUGUUAAACCCAUGAAAUUUGAUUGAAUUGUGAGAAAGAUGAAAAUGUUGGUGUUAAACCCAUGAAAUUUGAUUGAAUUGUGGGAAUUAUAGAAAUGAUGAUGUUAAACCCAUGAAAUU
rnacentral:lncRNA from 1 species